UUGUGUUUGUGUGUGUCUGUGGAGUGAGGCGCAGACGUCUGAAUGCUGGAUCCCGUCCCAGAGCUAACAGGAAAUCCUUUAUAACCAGAGCUAAGAGUCACCUAAACAGCUCCCAGAUACUGGAAUAAAGCACUGGGACCACUGGGAGAUGGAGACCAGACUUUCCUUUCCCACGUCGGCACCUGGAUACGUGUGUAUGCAAACCACUGUUUUCAAAAUGGGAUGAUGAAGCGCCCUGGAAGCUGAAAGAUGAGAAAAUGAGAGGGAAGCAGUGCAAAUAAAAAGAGAAAUGAAACCAUCA